UGUACUCAGCGGUGCCUGAGACAGAGAGAGAGGGGUGUGUUGUUUUGGGCGCUACUUCACCACAGCGACGGAACGUCAGAAGGCCCCCCCAUCUGUCUAAAGCACGGCUCACCAGAAUACUCGUGGUACGCCUCCUCUUUCAGCAGGUCGCCGCAGCCGAAGUCGAUCGGCUUCACCAGGAGAGUGUCCGUUUGAAGGAGCAGGUUCUCCCCUUUGACAUCCCGGUGCAGGACGUUGCGGUCUCGGCAGUGACGGCACGUCAGCACCGCCUGUUUCAUGAUGCCCCUCGCCGUGUCCUCACUGAAGGCCCCGUCCACGAUGGUGCACAUGUAAUCGUACACGUCUGUGCACGGCGCGGGAUGCUCCAUGACCAGGACGAUGCGGUCGGGCAGGUCGAACCAAUCCAAAAGCCCCACGACGUGGUCACAUGCCGGGGGCUUGGACACUAGCAAAUGGAGGGCCACCUCCAGGGGCUAAAGUGGGGAGGUUGGUUAACACAGAGUCAUGGUGUUCCAGGCCAAGGCAGACAGACCCAAAGCCUCCUUGUCCCAGCAUCUUGCCUACAUCACAGAGCGAGGAGAACAUGGCUGCAAAAGGAGAUCAAAUAUUCACAAAUUGUUUAUGACUGGCCCAAGUCCCAAGAUAUCUCAACAGGCCCAGAAAUGCAACACUGUGUGGUGUCUGAUCAUUGAAACAUACGGCAAGUACCGAAAAAAUAUGUCCGACCAAAAAAUGGUGCCUGCAAACGCCCCAAAACAUUGCAGCAAAUUUCCCAGAGCUUGGGCAGCGGCGUCCCCCGGGAACAUGCUGAUGUUGAGGUGACGCUGGCACGGCUCUUCUUGGCCGCGCUGAGGUCCUCCGUGUCCAAGUCCAGGGAAGAGGUGUCCCUCUUUCUCUUGGAACUCUGGACAGACCGGCAUGCCUGAUCAUGUUGGGUCGGUGGGUUACAUUGUCUUUCCUUCUGCUACAGGAGUCUUCCUCUCCAGGGAGACUGCUCUGUGUUGACCGGGGACUACACACUCCAGGGGGCACCAGGGAAAUCCUCUUGGCAGUGGCUUGUUUCCUUUUUUUUGGAGUGUUUUCGGGAAGGGCCUUCAUCGCUCUCCGAAUCAAACUGGCUCUUCCUCUUCAUCCUUCAUCGUCUGUACUCUUUUUAUUUGUCGAAGCAACUAGGUAUUCUUUGUAUCACAUUUGUUUCCCUCAAGACAUUGUGCUGUUACACUGACACCAAGAAUAUAUUAUAUACAAUAUAUACAUUUUUUAUAUUAGAUUAGUUUCAACUUUAUUGUCAUUGAACAAGUACAAGCUACGAAAUGCCAUUAGCAUCCAACCAGAAGUGCAAAUAGAAGAGGGCAGAACAUUUACAAAAGACAACAUGGCCUAAAAUUAACAUCAGUCACUGGCCAAAUUAAGGUAAGCCCACAUUUUGCCACUGGUGGAUUAAUUAUUAUUUACUAUUUGAUCACAAUGGGUUCUGUACAGCCCACUUAAUUCUCACUCACUGUUUGGGACAUAAAAGUACUCUGAAGUCAGUAAGUAUGCUUAAGUAGUGAUUUAAAAUAUUGUUAAUGCUAUAUUUAUUAAGAAAGUUCCUAGAGCACGGUAGCCUACGGCUUUUAGCUGUAACUCAGGAAACCGCUCGAAUGUGUGGCAUUACAUUAUCGAAAGUUCGCGCGUGUCAAAACUAGCUAGCACGAUGCGCUUAAACUUUUAAAAAUGUUGAUCAAUAUUGUAAGCAGAUUUUUCUGAUAUGUUCAACAAGCCUCAUUAAUUGACACGGUGUAUAACUCCACUACACUAUUUGGGGUUUUAAGAAGUAAGAUUACACACAAUACUGGAAAAAAUGGGACAUACUGUACGGUCCUAACUAUGGAAACUCCAAUGCAAUCAUUCUGCAAAAUGCCUAUGCAUAAUUAUAUUUAAUUUAACUCAUGGUGUUAUUGAUAGACCUAAAUAUUAUGUGGCAAUCGACGUCUUAUAUUGUGCUAUAUAGUUAUUUCAGAAUAAAUAUCUCAGGGUCGUGUCGUUAUCAAAUGUAGGCCUAGGCUACCACUUACCAGAACUGUAGUUAUCGCAGCGGUGUCGUACUCAUAUCUGAACUAAUUCUCAAUCAACUGCCCACUUAACAGAGAUGUGACGUUGUCACCUGGCACACGUCACUAUAGAUCUGUAGUUAUAGCAGCGGUAUCGUACUCAUAUCUGAACCAUAGACUGUAUAUAAAAGAUCUGAACCAAUUCUCAAUCAACUGUCCACUUGAGACAUGACGUUAUCACCUGGCACACGUCACAAUAACCGACAAGACCGCGGCCCAACGCAGACCGAAUCAAGCCCCCCCUUGCGCGAGUAAUAAACAAAACAAGUUCAACACUGAAAUGAGUACAUUGAAAGUUCAAUUGUUUUAAAUCUAAAUAUCGUAUUUCUAUGGUUCGGAAUUACACCGACUUGCCCUAAUAAGUGUCAAUACAUUCUCAGUGGUACUGUGGAACCAGAAGGCACGCACUGCAGUCUACUGUUGAAAAUGUAGGAAAGCAGGUGACCUUCUAAAGUGUACAUUGCAGAUUAUUACCUAUUAAUUGUAAUAAAUAAACGGUUUAACUGAAGUUUUAUUAAUUUUCAUAUUUAAUGUAAGCCUAUAAAUUGCCUAGUCCAGGCCUUGUUUGAGUCAGGUACGUUUUUAUUCCAGUAAUAAACACAUUUAGAAGGUCUCUUGAA